rnacentral:lncRNA from 1 species
UCUCCUUUGGAUUCGUUUUUCUCUUUUUAUCAUCAAUUUUAUUAUUAUUUUUUUAAAUCAGUAGCAAAGUUAAAAUUAAAAGUACUAAAAUAAAUAUUCGAUAAAUUUAGAUGGGUAUUUGAAGUUUUCUAUAUAUAAUUUAACGAAAUAUUUUAAAAAAACUGCCAAAAAAAUAAAAACAAAACCAUAGAAGGGCAAAUUGAUAUACUUUAAACCACAUGAUACUAAACCGAGAAAGUGCGAAACCACGUGGGAUUUUUUUUGAAGUUUUC